UAUAGCAUGCAUCAGUAUGGGUGCGAAAGCUUCUUCUAUCAAGUUUAACAACUUUCUGGUGUAACUUCUGAGAGGGCCGAUUGCUUAUUCAUGCGGAAGCAAGACGCCCAGUUCAUUUUGCCUGUUUUUGCUACUCUUUGUUGGGUUUGGGAGGCUGUUAUGGUAGCUGCAAAUGGCUUCUCAAGUGACAUUUGCUGACAUUCAGUGAAGUACAUUUAUCAGUAUUCGCCAGCUCACCUCUACACAUGCAAUCCAUUUUGUUUUGUUCUUCAUAGCAACCUCCUUUCCGACACCCGUGCCCUGAAAAUGAUAAAUGGCAAGGUGGCAUAUUUCUCAAGCUGCACUCAAAUGUCACUGUGAAAAAUCUUUAAUGGACUAAGUGUAGCUCUUCACGUUACAACUUGUCAGGUACUGAGAAAUUCUAGAGUUUCUCCUUAAUCCACAAGUCUUUGGAACCACACAUCUGCAAGCAGAGACUAAUUAUAAGCUGUACCAGUCAGACCUGGGCAAGCAGAAACCGAGGAGAAAACACCUGAUAUCAGCUAAUUCUUUUUUAUUCUUACUCUUGUUCCAUUUUCGCUACUUCCUUUCCUACUCAAAGAAUAUGCCAGGUAUGAGCAAUUUGUUACUCUAAGUGGGGGAUGGUCUCCCCCCCAGCCCCUCCCCCCACCCCAAGCAGGCCUGUAAUCCAGUUAUACAAUCAGCUUUCUCCAUAAUAGCUUUUUCUCUUCUCCUUCAAGACUCAACAUCUCUAGGACUUCUCCCCUCUCCCCCGCCAACCUCGCCCCUCAAAUAUACUCCACCUGAUUCUGAAUCGUAAAUCCUGGCUCCUAAAUGUUGGCUGUGAUGGGGCGGUUCAGAGGCGUCUGAGACAUCUGGCUGGAAGGGUCCUCUCUCCUGCCUCCUUAGCCAUCCCUUUUCAGCGUAUUUGGUCAUCCUUCAGAUCUCCACUACCACCAUGCCGUUUUCGCAGGGAGCAGCCCACAGACACUCACUCAUCCCUGAAUAUGGCUCAGUCGCUCAGGUGCUACCUUUUCCUAGUCCCUGGAGUGUGCUCCAAGGAGGAAGCAGCCCUUGCCCACUGUCGUCAGGGGAGAAUUUGGUUUGCGCGUGUUUGGGAUGUGUUCCAAUGAGGGCAUCAUCGUCAAUUCACACUGAUUUUACAAUCAGUGUUUGAAGGUCAAAGGAAUUGAGAAAGGGGUAACUGAAGCCAAGGAAAAGAAGUGGUACCACCCACAACCGUACCGGCCAAGUUCAUCUUUGGCCAGAUGCUAGAUUGGGAUGUUCUUGGUUUUACACCUGUCCCUUAAAGCCCCAUCCAAGCUCUAACUUUGAUAUUUGCUUCUAGAUUCCUUGGUUUGGGCAUUUCCUGGGCUCUCCUGUUUUUUCUCUAAUAUCAUCCUUGGCUUUUCUUCUCCCUUAGGCUUAGCCUCCAGUCUCUUGGGCUGAAUAAGUGUCUUAUCUGUCUCUUAGACCUCAAGGACCCUUCCAACAAGUAAAGAAAGGUCUUUGGCCACAUAGAGGCUCAAGAACCUAAUAGUCUAACAGUCUAAA
rnacentral:lncRNA from 1 species